CAAAAGGUCAACCACUCUGUACAUCCUUUAAAAACAGCAUAAGAAUCAGUGUAAAUAUAAACAAGGGAAGUAUUUUGCUUUUCCUUUUGGAAAACACUCCACACAGCUAUAAGCUCUCCAGUUUGGGCACUGCCUUCCCCUUCUGUAAUGAUCUGCUCACCAGAGGAAGUGUGUAAGGCUACAGCUUUAUAUUUCCACACCUUUCCUUCUCUUUUGGCUGAAGCAUCAGUAAACCAAGCAUUCGCUGUCUGCUCAGGGGAGAAGGGAGGGGCUACCUUGAUUACUGAAGCUGGUUUUUCUUGGUUGCUAUUCAAGUUUUCUGUUUCUUGUAUUGACAAAUUUUUUACAGCACCUUCAGUGAUUGAGAAAAUGUGACAGUAGUGUUCUGUUUGAGCAUACCAUUUUCUCACAGAGGCCCGCUGAGCAACCCCUUCUGGAGGAGGGGUCCCAGAGGUGUAUCUGCAUGCUGUGAGGCAUGGGAGAGCUGCAACAAAUAGUUGUGGCUUCUUUCUUGCUCUAAUUGGUUUUGUAAAGUUUCUACAUGAUUUGUUUCCUGCUCUAAUAGUUUUUGCAAGGCUUCUACAAAGUCUUGCAAAGAGUCUAUAACUGCCUUUUCUUCACUCACUCGUCUGAAACGAGCUUGCACAGCUGCUGAGAGACAAGCACCUAGAACUGUGCAAAGUAUGGUUUUACUAUUCUUGCCCAGUUUAAAUUUGGUUUCAUGCUCCAAAGAAUGUAUCCUAUCAAUCACAUUUUCUAAAUUAAACCAGUUAUUGUAUGCCCAA